rnacentral:lncRNA from 1 species
CAUGUUUGAACGAACCUACAUGCGCGAGCAUUGCAUUUAUUAUGAACUUCAGAGCUGCGCUUGGAGAGAGCCAUAGGACGCGCUACCAACAUCAGGCUAAUGGAACGUGAAGUAUGGACUUUUUGACCGAAAAUACAUCUGUUGUGGACCUGGGAUGCUUUCUGAUGAAGACAACUAAAGCAGCAGUUUUGCAAUGACGAGCAUUGCCUUCCGUGUUGGUGUACCAUGCCAGACCCCAAAAUCUCCCGAGGGGACCGAGGGGAGGACACGUCCCAUGUUCCAGUGAUCGAUCUACGCACACUCCCAG